GACGAACGCUGGCGGCGUGCUUAACACAUGCAAGUCGAACGGAAAGGCCCUGCUUUUGUGGGGUUCUCGAGUGGCGAACGGGUGAGUAACACGUGAGUAACCUGCCCUUGACUUUGGGAUAACUUCAGGAAACUGGGGCUAAUACCGGAUAGGAGCUCCUGCUGCAUGGUGGGGGUUGGAAAGUUUCGGCGGUUGGGGAUGGACUCGCGGCUUAUCAGCUUGUUGGUGGGGUAGUGGCUUACCAAGGCUUUGACGGGUAGCCGGCCUGAGAGGGUGACCGGCCACACUGGGACUGAGAGACGGCACAGACGCCUAAGGGAGGCAGAAGUGGGGAAUAUUGCACAAUGGGCGGAAGCCGGAUGCAGCAACGCCGCGUGCGGGAUGACGGCCUUCGGGUUGUAAACCGCUUUCGCCUGUGACGAAGCGUGAGUGACGGUAAUGGGUAAAGAAGCACCGGCUAACUACGUG
rnacentral:rRNA from 1 species